rfam:Citrobacter koseri ATCC BAA-895, complete genome.
GAAGUUUUAGGUUGGCGCCGUCAGGUUGCCACGGCACACUAAACAGCGUUGGUUUCCUCAGGUCUGUUUCGUGUGCUGAAUUGUUGACGCAUUCAUUUAUUGGUAUCGCAUGAACCCCAUCGUAAUUAAUCGGCUUCAACGGAAGCUGGGCUACACUUUUACUC